ensembl:snoRNA SNORD22 Small nucleolar RNA SNORD22
UCUGAAUGAUGAAACUCGCACACGUCUUACGCCCUGUGUUAACACCAGAACCUGAGAAGGUGAACCCACUGGGGUUGCCAGGGCAACAAGGGGAUGGUCUGUUGGGGUACCAACUGUCUGACAGGC